CGCCCAGAAGGUGGAAUAGAAGCACUCAGCUUCUAAGUGGCUAUUGGUUUGAAGCCUUGAGCCCAGAACACUGAAGUUCAUCUGGGC